UAUACAUACAACUGCUUUCUUUGGAGAUUGACUUUAGCAAUUUAGAGUCUUUAUUAUGCGCUGUUCCACUGGAUUUAGGGAAUUAGUUGCGGUCCAGUAGUGACGCUAAUAUUAGCGGGGGUAGUUUAGAACUCACGUUUUUUUUUCUGCAGAGGCCGGUAGGUUUUUCAGGCGUAGCGUGUCUUUGAAAGUUGCGCAGAUCCGUCCUGCUAUUCCGGCAUCCACAAGAGCAGCAACCCAAGAGAGCGAUAAUUGGACGCAGCUCCCUUAUAUGGCCUGGGUCUGGACUAGUGCUAAUCUGUCCAUUACUGAUGUCAAUCACCAUUACAAACAUUUGUGGGUAACACAUGACUCAAGGACCUCCUAAGGUCCUCCAACAUACCAUAGAGGAGAUUAACAUGGUCACAUGACCGAAGGUCCUGCGAUGUUAAAUAAUAGAUCACAGGACCAGCGUUAGAAUGGGUGCAAGCAGGCCCACAGGAAGUCAAAACCCAGAAAUUACAUCCUGUUGUGACACAUUAAGCGCUGGAAGAUUUGAAGAAUCGGAUUGGUGAUCACAUGACCAAGUUACUGUAAUAAUGCUGCUCUGGAAUUAAAUAAAUGAUACUCAAAAACUUGUGAUGAUCCUUAUGGCAGACCACAGGUGCCAUGGUAACUCGUCUCAGCUGAUCACUGCAUCUAAGGGGUUAAACUGACAGAAUUAAAGUGCUGGAGGUACCAGUGACCAGGUGAUCCCAGGGGUAAGGAGUGAGGUCAAGUCGAGUCCUAGAGGGUGUCCAGAGUCAUUGGAGGCCUCAAGUCCAGUCUGCAGCCACAGUCAGUUGCAAAGACAUAGAGAGUUAAAAGCCCGGAGGGGGAAGAGCACUUCAAUAAUGGAUGCUGCAAGAGGGAAGAUUGAGAUGUCAACGAAGAUGAUGUAUCAAGCAGAACCACAAGCAUAGAUACAGCAAGGCAAUAAGGACCAUGUGAUUCCCCAUACAGGACGUAUCCCCCAGCCCAGCUAUCAUAUGCUACAGGACUUUCCCAAGGAAAUGGAUUUUACAGACUUGACCCCUAGACAUGUGGAUGGAAAUAUAAUUGCAACCAUCUCCCAUGGAAUAAACUAGUUACGUUUGAAAACCAGUUGAAGCACCGGCCUGACGAAGCGCCUCGCGCGUAAACGGUCCGUCGCCGCUCCUUGUACCCCCUCGUCUUGUUCCAUCCUCCCCUGCAUGUAUCCCGACUGUUCGAUUGCAUUUGAUCAAUAAAGAAGCUUUCUACUGAAAUGAAUGACGUACUGACCAGAAGAAACGUCACUUCCGACGCAAAACUAGUCGUUUUGUGGUACGCCCCCUGCACCUGUGAGCUCCGGCUCUGGCUCCCUGCACUUCCAGCUUUCUGCUUGCCGCAUAGCUGUAUCUU